GCAUUUAUCGUGUAACGGUUAGCACACUCGACUCGUAUUCGAGCGGACCAGAUUCGAGUCCGGGUGGGGGCC
rnacentral:tRNA from 1 species